AGCAGCCGCGGUAAUUCCAGCUCCAAUAGCGUAUAUUAAAGUUGCUGCAGUUAAAAAGCUCGUAGUUGAAUUUCGGGAUCAAUAUGUUGGUCGUGCCUCGGUACGUACUGGCUUAUUGGUUUCUCCUUUCUGAAGAACCAUGAUGUCAUUUAUUUGGUGUUGUGGGGAAUCAGGACUGUUACUUUGAAAAAAUUAGAGUGUUUAAAGCAGGCUCACGCUUGAAUACAUUAGCAUGGAAUAAUGAAAUAGGACGUUUGAUUCUAUUUUGUUGGUUUCUAGGAUCGACGUAAUGAUUAAUAGGGAUAGUUGGGGGCAUUAGUAUUCAAUUGUCAGAGGUGAAAUUCUUGGAUUUAUUGAAGACUAACUACUGCGAAAGCAUUUGCCAAGGAUGUUUUCAUUAAUCAAGAACGAAAGUUAGGGGAUCGAAGACGAUCAGAUACCGUCGUAGUCUUAACCAUAAACUAUGCCGACUAGGGAUCGGAUGAUGUUAAUUUUUUAAUGACUCAUUCGGCGCCUUACG
rnacentral:rRNA from 1 species